rnacentral:rRNA from 1 species
GGCGAGUGAAGCGGCAAAAGCUCAAAUUUGAAAUCUGGUACCUUCGGUGCCCGAGUUGUAAUUUGGAGAGGGCAACUUUGGGGCCGUUCCUUGUCUAUGUUCCUUGGAACAGGACGUCAUAGAGGGUGAGAAUCCCGUGUGGCGAGGAGUGCGGUUCUUUGUAAAGUGCCUUCGAAGAGUCGAGUUGUUUGGGAAUGCAGCUCUAAGUGGGUGGUAAAUUCCAUCUAAAGCUAAAUAUUGGCGAGAGACCGAUAGCGAACAAGUACAGUGAUGGAAAGAUGAAAAGAACUUUGAAAAGAGAGUGAAAAAGUACGUGAAAUUGUUGAAAGGGAAGGGCAUUUGAUCAGACAUGGUGUUUUGUGCCCUCUGCUCCUUGUGGGUAGGGGAAUCUCGCAUUUCACUGGGCCAGCAUCAGUUUUGGUGGCAGGAUAAAUCCAUAGGAAUGUAGCUUGCCUCGGUAAGUAUUAUAGCCUGUGGGAAUACUGCCAGCUGGGACUGAGGACUGCGACGUAAGUCAAGGAUGCUGGCAUAAUGGUUAUAUGCCGCCCGUCUUGAAACACGGACA